AUGCUUAACACAUGCAAGUCGAACGGCAGCACGGGAGCAAUCCUGGUGGCGAGUGGCGAACGGGUGAGUAAUGUAUCGGAACGUACCUUUCAGUGGGGGAUAACGUAGCGAAAGUUACGCUAAUACCGCAUAUUCUGUGAGCAGGAAAGCAGGGGAUCUUAGGACCUUGCGCUGAUUGAGCGGCCGAUAUCAGAUUAGCUAGUUGGUGAGGUAAAGGCUCAUCAAGGCGACGAUCUGUAGCGGGUCUGAGAGGAUGAUCCGCCACACUGGAACUGAGACACGGUCCAGACUCCUACGGGAGGCAGCAGUGGGGAAUUUUGGACAAUGGGCGCAAGCCUGAUCCAGCCAUGCCGCGUGAGUGAAGAAGGCCUUCGGGUUGUAAAGCUCUUUCGGCCGGGAAGAAAUCGCAUGGGUUAAUACCCUGUGCGGAUGACGGUACCGCAUAAGAAGCACCGGCUAACUACGUGCCAGCAGCCGCGGUAAUACGGAGGGUGCGAGCGUUAAUCGGAAUUACUGGGCGUAAAGCGUGCGUAGGCGGUUCGUUAAGUCAGAUGUGAAAGCCCCGGGCUCAACCUGGGGAACUGCAUUUGAAACUGGCGGACUAGAGUUUAGUAGAGGGGAGUGGAAUUUCAGGUGUAGCGGUGAAAUGCGUAGAUAUCUGAAGAACNCNGUGG
rnacentral:rRNA from 1 species